rnacentral:rRNA from 1 species
GACGAACGCUGGCGGCGUGCUUAACACAUGCAAGUCGAGCGGAAAGGCCCUUCGGGGUACUCGAGCGGCGAACGGGUGAGUAACACGUGAGUAACCUGCCCCAGACUUUGGGAUAACCCUCGGAAACGGGGGCUAAUACCGGAUACGACACAGCUUCGCAUGGGGUCUGUGUGGAAAGUUUUUCGGUUUGGGAUGGGCUCGCGGCCUAUCAGCUUGUUGGUGGGGUGAUGGCCUACCAAGGCGACGACGGGUAGCCGGCCUGAGAGGGCGACCGGCCACACUGGGACUGAGACACGGCCCAGACUCCUACGGGAGGCAGCAGUGGGGAAUAUUGCACAAUGGGCGGAAGCCUGAUGCAGCGACGCCGCGUGAGGGAUGACGGCCUUCGGGUUGUAAACCUCUUUCGGCAGGGACGAAGCGUAAGUGACGGUACCUGCAGAAGAAGCGCCGGCCAACUACGUG